AUACGGAGGGUGCAAGCGUUACGCGGAAUCACUGGGCGUAAAGCGCGCGCAGGCGGCUAUUUAAGUUGGAUGUGAAAGCCUAUGGCUCAACCAUAGAACUGCAUCCAAAACUAUUUAGCUAGAGUGUGGGAGAGGAAGAUGGAAUUAGUUGUGUAGGGGUAAAAUCCGUAGAGAUAACUAGGAAUACCAAAAGCGAAGGCAAUCUUCUGGAACACUACUGACGCUGAGGCGCGACAGCGUGGGGAGCAAACAGGAUUAGAAACCCUAGUAGUCC
rnacentral:rRNA from 1 species